rnacentral:rRNA from 1 species
CCUACGGGAGGCAGCAGUGAGGAAUAUUGGUCAAUGGGCGGGAGCCUGAACCAGCCAUGCCGCGUGAAGGCGAGUGCCCUACGGGCGUUAAACUUCUUUGGUGCGGGAGCAAUAAGGGCCACGUGUGGCCCGAUGAGAGUACCGCACGAAUAAGCAUCGGCUAACUCCGUGCCAGCAGCCGCGGUAAUACGGGGGAUGCGAGCGUUAUCCGGAUUUAUUGGGUUUAAAGGGUGCGUAGGCGGGGCUGCAGGUCAGCGGUGAAAUACCGGGGCUCAACCCCGGGGCUGCCGUGGAAACCGGGGCGCUAGAAUUCCGAUGCCGUCGGAGGAAUGUGUGGUGUAGCGGUGAAAUGCAUAGAUAGCACACAGAACACCGAUUGCGAAGGCAUCUGACGAGUCGGUGAUUGACGCUGAUGCACGAAAGCGUGGGGAGCGAACAGGAGUAGGGGGGCCAGUAGUC